UUUGUGCAUUUUUACUCAUUAAUAUGUAUGUAUUGUGGAAUGUCGCAUUGAAACAACUGGUCAUGGCAAAUGCAAUAUAUAAAAAAACAUUUGACCAUUCUGGAGCAUAAACCUUAAAACAAGCUACAUUUGCAAAUAAUCAACGGAAAAUGUAAGGGGAAAUACCAGAACGAACAAGAAAUUUCCUACUUUGGACAUUUUGAUAAAAACUUGUACAUUGACCAUUAAACUUUUAUCGGAAAAAAGAUGUUUCUCGACCAGAGCAAUGGAAUAAAAUCCGCUGCUAAUGUGAUUGAAAAGUACCCACACAGGGUGAAAACUGUAUCAGAGUGCUUAGUGUUGUGAUCGCUGA
rnacentral:sRNA from 14 species